rnacentral:rRNA from 1 species
AGAGUUGAUCCUGGCUUAGGAUGAACGCUAGCUACAGGCUUAACACAUGCAAGUCGAGGGGCAUCAUGGAGUUUGCUUGCAAACUCUGAUGGCGACCGGCGCACGGGUGAGUAACGCGUAUCCAACCUUCCCUAUAGUAGAGGAUAGCCCGGCGAAAGUCGGAUUAAUACUCUAUGUUUUCCGUUGCAGACAUCUAAGAUGGAACAAAGGCUUGCCGCUAUAGGAUGGGGAUGCGUCUGAUUAGGUAGUCGGCGGGGUAACGGCCCACCGAGCCAUCGAUCAGUAGGGGUUCUGAGAGGAAGGUCCCCCACAUUGGAACUGAGACACGGUCCAAACUCCUACGGGAGGCAGCAGUGAGGAAUAUUGGUCAAUGGGCGAGAGCCUGAACCAGCCAAGUAGCGUGCAGGACGACGGCCCUAUGGGUUGUAAACUGCUUUUAUGCGGGGAUAAAGUUCACUACGUGUAGUGUUUUGUAGGUACCGCAUGAAUAAGGACCGGCUAAUUCCGUGCCAGCAGCCGC